rnacentral:rRNA from 1 species
UACGUAGGGUGCAAGCGUUGUCCGGAAUUAUUGGGCGUAAAGAGCUCGUAGGCGGUCUGUCGCGUCGGCUGUGAAAUCCCGAGGCUCAACCUCGGGUCUGCAGUCGAUACGGGCAAACUAGAGUAUUGCAGGGGAGACUGGAAUUCCUGGUGUAGCGGUGAAAUGCGCAGAUAUCAGGAGGAACACCGGUGGCGAAGGCGGGUCUCUGGGCAAUAACUGACGUUGAGGAGCGAAAGCGUGGGGAGCGAACAGG